rnacentral:lncRNA from 1 species
GGUUGGCCGGGUCACCGGACACAUUUUUUUAAACUAGAUAUCCCAAUAUUGAUUGUGGCUAAGUUUGGCCCAGUAGUUUCAGAGGAGAAAAUUUUGGUAAAAGAUAACAAAAAUUUACAAAAAAUUGGUAAAAAAUGACUAUAAAGGGCAAUAACUCCUUCAGGGGUCAACUGACCAUUUUGGUCAUGUUGACUUAUUUGUAGAUCUUACUUUGCUGAACAUUGUUGCUGUUUACAGUUUAUCUCUAUCUAUAAUAAUAUUCAAGGUAAU